rnacentral:rRNA from 1 species
UACGUAGGGGGCAAGCGUUGUCCGGAUUUACUGGGCGUAAAGAGCGCGUAGGCGGAACGAUAAGCGGGGCCGGAAAGCCUCCGGCUCAACCGGGGAAGGGGCCGCGAACUGUCGUUCUUGAGGGGGAGAGAGGAGAGCGGAAUUCCUGGUGUAGCGGUGAAAUGCGUAGAGAUCAGGAGGAACACCCAUGGCGAAGGCAGCUCUCUGGCUUCACCCUGACGCUGAGGCGCGAAAGCGUGGGGAGCGAACAGG